CGUUAGCGGCGGACGGGUGAGUAACACGUGGGUAACCUACCUAUAAGACUGGGAUAACUUCGGGAAACCGGAGCUAAUACCGGAUAAUAUUUCGAACCGCAUGGUUCGAUAGUGAAAGAUGGUUUUGCUAUCACUUAUAGAUGGACCCGCGCCGUAUUAGCUAGUUGGUAAGGUAACGGCUUACCAAGGCGACGAUACGUAGCCGACCUGAGAGGGUGAUCGGCCACACUGGAACUGAGACACGGUCCAGACUCCUACGGGAGGCAGCAGCG
rnacentral:rRNA from 1 species